ACACGUAGGGGGCGAGCGUUGUUCGGAAUCAUUGGGCGUAAAGGGUGCGCAGGCGGUGAUACAAGUCUGGUGUGAAAGAUCUCGGCUCAACCGAGGGACCGCGCUGGAAACUGUGUCACUAGAGUACAGGAGGGGGAGUUGGAAUUCCAGGUGUAGGGGUGAAAUCUGUAGAUAUCUGGAAGAACACCGGUGGCGAAGGCGAACUUCUGGCCAUGUACUGACGCUGAGGCACGAAGGCGUGGGGAGCAAACAGGUUUAGAUACCCUGGUAGUCCACGCAGUAAACGAUGUACACUAGGUGGUGGGUGGUAGCACUCAGUACCGAAGCUAACGCAUUAAGUGUGCCGCCUGGGGAGUAUGCUCGCAAGGGUGAA
rnacentral:rRNA from 1 species